AGUGAACGCUGGCGGUAGGCCUAACACAUGCCAGUCGAACGGCAGCACAGUAAGAGCUUGCUCUUACGGGUGGCGAGUGGCGGACGGGUGAGGAAUACAUCGGAAUCUACUUUUUCGUGGGGGAUAACGUAGGGAAACUUACGCUAAUACCGCAUACGACCUACGGGUGAAAGCAGGGGAUCUUCGGACCUUGCGCGAUUGAAUGAGCCGAUGUCGGAUUAGCUAGUUGGCGGGGUAAAGGCCCACCAAGGCGACGAUCCGUAGCUGGUCUGAGAGGAUGAUCAGCCACACUGGAACUGAGACACGGUCCAGACUCCUACGGGAGGCAGCAGUGGGGAAUAUUGGACAAUGGGCGCGAGCCUGAUCCAGCCAUACCGCGUGGGUGAAGAAGGCCUUCGGGUUGUAAAGCCCUUUUGUUGGGAAAGAAAAGCAGCAGGUUAAUACCCCGCUGUUCUGACGGUACCCAAAGAAUAAGCACCGGCUAACUUCGUG
rnacentral:rRNA from 1 species